CCUGAUGUGAAAUAACCCUACACUGGCUUUGUUUACAGGCAAGGAUUUCCUUCCCUAAUAAAUGAUUGAAAGUGUUCAGUCAAUUAACUCUCCAGAGUGGUUAAUUUAGUAGUUUCCUGAUCAUUAACAGGCAGUUCUUGAAAAGCAUUAACACCACACCAAGAGUGGAAAUUUGUAGUUUACACCUAUGAAGACCUAACAUCAGUCCUUAUAAUGCUGCAUUGUUUGACUGAGCAGUAUUCCUUUUGUCUCCAUAGUCUCUUUGCUCUUGGGCAUCACUCAGAUGGGGAGAUAUGGAAGUGAAAUAUGGAAAUCUACUGCUCCAGAGGCAUAUUAAUAUGUAUGUUGGUCCAUUUGCUGUGUAGGUUGUUGAAGACUCUAGGAUGUGCUUGGUCUCCUUGAAACAAAGAACCAGCUGUCCCUGGUGUCCAACCACAGACCUGAAGGAUGUUCUGCGCCCUGCAGGUAUAUUCUCCUUAUUUCCAUGCUUCUAGCUUUCACCCUGCAUAUAUAUUGCACACACAGAUUUCUCCUCAGUCGAGUUUGCAUGAGAAAGCAAAACAAGAAUAUCCCAGGCAUUUUUGCCUCUUCUUCAUGUCUCAGUUCACAGCUCCAGACUGGCCUUUGGUGGGACAUCCUUAGUGGAGAAACCUUGUUACUGCCUCGAGGCAAAGGGCAGGAUGUUUAGCUGUGUUUGCAAAACAGGUUAAAAAUAAACUAAAAGCUAUGGAUCCGUGAGCAGAAAGUGCAGCAUCCAGCAGCAGCUCCAAAGCUGGCCCCAAAUGCGCACCGUAGUGGAGGUGCUGCCUGUCCUUCUGCCAGCACCAGCACGGAUGAAAUGCCGGGUCUGCCUUCCCCUGGAGGCACAAUAAGCCUCUGUUUUCCAAGCAGGAAAACAUUUCCAUUUCAGGGGCAGCAACUGCCUGCCAGAAACACAGCACACAGAGAUGUGAGGGCGAGUGCCCCUGCUGAGAACCGGGAGCCUCCUGGGGAAGCACCACCAACCACACACAGCUGGGAUGUCCCACUAGGUGUGAGUGUCCUGAAACAUCCAUGGGCUACAGAAAGCUCUGUCUCAGCUUUUCAGGAGUUUAAAAUGAUGCUUUGAGCUGUGUGCUGGCAUUCAGCCAGAGGUGAUGCCAGGAACAGAGCCCACUGCUUUCACUGGAAGUCUCUGAAUGGGAAUCUUGGUGUACUUUACAUCGUCAAGAGAAUAUCCAAAGGAUUUCAGUGCAGGAAAGUUCUUUGGAAUAACUUCAACACUGGGAAAAAUGAUGUAAUAAAUAAAAAAAAAAUGUAAUAAAAACUUGGCA
rnacentral:lncRNA from 1 species